GUCUAUGGCCUUACCACCUUGAAUACACCUGAUCUUGUUGGCUACACAGGGUCGGGCCUGGUUAGUACUUGGAUGGGAGACCACAUGGGAACACCGGAUGCUGUAGGCU
ensembl:rRNA 5S_rRNA 5S ribosomal RNA